rnacentral:rRNA from 1 species
UACGUAGGGGGCUAGCGUUGUCUGGAAUCAUUGGGCGUAAAGAGCGUGUAGGCGGUCCGGUAAGUCCGCUGUGAAAGUCGGGGGCUCAACCCUCGAAUGCCGGUGGAUACUGUCGGGCUAGAGUGCGGAAGAGGCGAGUGGAAUUCCUGGUGUAGCGGUGAAAUGCGCAGAUAUCAGGAGGAACACCUAUUGCGAAGGCAGCUCGCUGGGACGUAACUGACGCUGAGACGCGAAAGCGUGGGGAGCAAACAGG